rnacentral:rRNA from 1 species
CCUACGGGAGGCAGCAGUGAGGAAUAUUGGUCAAUGGACGCAAGUCUGAACCAGCCAUGCCGCGUGCAGGAAGACGGCUCUAUGAGUUGUAAACUGCUUUUGUACGAGGGUAAACUCAGAUACGCGUAUCUUUCUGAACGUAUCGUACGAAUAAGGAUCGGCUAACUCCGUGCCAGCAGCCGCGGUAAUACGGAGGAUUCAAGCGUUAUCCGGAUUUAUUGGGUUUAAAGGGUGCGUAGGCGGUCGGAUAAGUUAGAGGUGAAAUCCCGAGGCUCAACUUCGGAAUUGCCGCUGAUACUGUUCGGCUAGAGAGUAGUAGAGGUAGGCGGAAUGUAUGGUGUAGCGGUGAAAUGCUUAGAGAUCAUACAGAACACCGAUUGCGAAGGCAGCUUACCAAGCUACGUCUGACGUUGAGGCACGAAAGCGUGGGGAGCAAACAGGAUUAGAUACCCUUGUAGUC